rnacentral:rRNA from 1 species
AGUACGUGAAACUGCUUAGAGGUUAAACCCGAUGAACCUGAAUAUCCAUUAUGGAAAAUUCAUCACUAAUAAUAUGAUAUUUAUAAUAUUAUACAAAUAGUGUGCAAUUUUUCCAUAUAAGGACAUUGUAAUCUGUUAAUGUAAUAAAUAUUUAUCAUAAGAUCCAUUACUUAAGUUUAUUCGAAUUAGUUAUUUUCGGAUUUCUAACAUAGGAUAAAUGUUUUGGAUUUGAUAAAUCAUUGACAGAUAUAAUUAUAUAAUGUGCUUAAAUUUUUCGGAAUUUUAUCAAUGGUAGAUGAAUCUAAUGAUUUGUUUAUUUAAUUGUAUGCACUAUUAUGAUUAACAAUGCGAUAGAUUCAGGAUACCUUCGGGACCCGUCUUGAAACACGGACCAAGGAGUCUAACAUAUGUGCAAGUCAUUGGGUAUUUUUAAUAAAACCCAAUGGCGUAAUUAACUUAACUGUUAUAUAAUGGGAUUAGUUUAUAUUUUGUUAUGAAAUAUUAAUUCAAUCCCGGGGCGUUCUAUAUAGUUAUGUAUAAUAGUAUUUAUAUUAUUUAUGCCUCUAACUCGAGCGUACCUUGAGC